UGGGGAAUAUUGGACAAUGGGGGCAACCCUGAUCCAGCAAUGCCGCGUGUGUGAAGAAGGUCUUCGGAUUGUAAAGCACUUUCGACGGGGACGAUGAUGACGGUACCCGUAGAAGAAGCCCCGGCCAACUUCGUGCCAGCAGCCGCGGUAAUACGAAGGGGGCUAGCGUUGCUCGGAAUGACUGGGCGUAAAGGGCGUGUAGGCGGUUUACACAGUCAGAUGUGAAAUCCCCGGGCUUAACCUGGGAGCUGCAUUUGAUACGUGUAGACUAGAGUGUGAGAGAGGGUUGUGGAAUUCCCAGUGUAGAGGUGAAAUUCGUAGAUAUUGGGAAGAACACCGGUGGCGAAGGCGGCAACCUGGCUCAUGACUGACGCUGAGGCGCGAAAAGCGUGGGGAGCAAACAGGAUUAGAUACCCUGGUAGUCCACGCUGUAAAACGA
rnacentral:rRNA from 1 species